rnacentral:rRNA from 1 species
UACGGGGGGUGCGAGCGUUGUCCGGAAUCACUGGGCGUAAAGGGCGCGUAGGUGGUUUGAUAAGGGUGUGGUGAAAGUCCGGGGCUCAACCCCGGAUCUGCCGUGCCGACUGUCAAACUCGAGGACUGUAGAGGCAGACGGAAUUCCGGGUGUAGCGGUGGAAUGCGUAGAGAUCCGGAAGAACACCGGUGGCGAAGGCGGUUAGCUGGGCAGUAGCUGACACUGAGGCGCGACAGCGUGGGGAGCAAACAGG